UACACGCUGUGACUAGCAUAUCAAUAAGCGGAGGAAAAGAAACUAACAAGGAUUCCCCUAGUAACGGCGAGUGAAGCGGGAAGAGCUCAAAUUUGAAAUCUUAAAGGGUUUCCCUUUACGAAUUGUAGUUUAAAGAAGUGUUUUCUGUUGAGGUUUUGGUAAAAGUUCUUUGGAAUAGGACAUCAUAGAGGGUGAGAAUCCCGUAUUUGACCUUUACUUUCAACUUUGUGAUACACUUUCAAAGAGUCGGAUUGUUUGGGAAUGCAGUCCAAAAUGGGUGGUAAAUUUCAUCUAAAGCUAAAUAUUGGCGAGAGACCGAUAGCGAACAAGUACCGUGAGGGAAAGAUGAAAAGAACUUUGAAAAGAGAGUUAAACAGUACGUGAAAUUGUCAAAAGGGAAGCGUUUGACACCAGUGUUGUUUUUCUGAAAAUCAAUUAAAGAACUGUUUAUGCUAAGUUGUUUAGACUUUAUCAGCUAUCUGUUUAGUUUUGAGCUUUUCUUUAAUGCACUUUUCAGUUAACAAGUCAACAUCAAUUUCUUUUGCUGUAAAAAAGCUUGAGGAAGGUGGCUUGAGAUUCGUCUUAAGUGUUUAUAGCCUCUUGCCUAUGCAGUCGGAGAGAUUGAGGUCUGCAGCGUAGAUCCUUCGGGGCUAAAUGCAUUUGUGCUAAGUUAUAGCAUUUUAUAGACAACUUGUUGACUAUGAUUUGUCUUGUAGCUUACUCGCUUAUGUUAUUUUACCUACGCUUAGGAUGUUGAAGAUGUAGCACAUCAU
rnacentral:rRNA from 1 species